CCGUCCUUUUUUUUUUUUUUUUUUAAAGACAGUCCCAUUUUCAUCUAUGGGAUCAGUUGAACGUCCCUUUUCUGCCACUUACCAGUAGUCACUGGUUCUUGUUCACGUCAGUAACCCUCGGUUAGCAUCGGUUUCCAAAUCUGCAAAAUUGGCAACAAAUUAUACUUCUUCUGCCUACCUCAGGAGGCCACUGAGAUGAUCAAAGCCUUGUGGGAAAGGCUUUGAAUAUUUAAAGUGAGCCGACAGCAUCACCCUAGAACAAGGUGCUUAUGUAUCAGGACAUUGUCUGGUCUUCACACAUCUUCUUUAGAUCGGAACAUUGACCUUCACAGCACGUUGUCAAACUGCUGUCCUGGCCGUCUGCUGGAAGACAAGCUGACUGUCAGCCGGGAGAGCAGUGCACAAGAAGAGCAUCAUUAUCUUAAAACCUCAAGAGGGGACAAUUUUAGCCAGCAAACAGGAAGCAGGAAGAACUUUCCCUCAUCCUGCGCCUCUGGUACAUGCUGAACUCUGCCUCCCCGACAGAUGCCUCAGACACCAGAGCAGCAGAAGAAGGAGCAGGGAGUUGCAGGCUACAUUCCUAAGAUGACUUCAGUCCCCCUUAAAGUACCUGCCUGAGGAAAAUGCAAGACUGCUGAAAGAAUUUGCCAUUUGUUCCAGCCAACACCUGAAGACAGGGGCCCGUCUCCCCAUCACUGUGGGAGAGGAGGGACCUAAUGGCAUAAAUACCAGUUGGCAAACCCAGAUGGGUUUCACAUGGACCAACUUCCCUUCCUUGCGUUUUGAAAUGUUUCACUCCUCUGACUUUACUGAGCCCAUCUCCCUUCACCCCUCCCUUCCCAUUCUCCCGUUAA